rnacentral:lncRNA from 1 species
AGAGGACGCAGGCAGAAUUGAGUUUGGGUUCCAUUUUUUUUCCUUUUCUUUCGUUUUUUUUUUAACAUUGGGGACAAUGUUUCAUUUAAGUGUAGGGGGGAAAACUUUGUUUCAGUUAUGUCUAUUUCCCUUUCAAUAUUUCCCUUUCAAGUAUGUUAUUUCCCUUUCAUUAAUAAAUAAUAAAAAUAAAAAAAUAAAAAAUUUAUUUU